rnacentral:rRNA from 1 species
GGUUUGCAAUGCGAGUCUUACCAAUAUGAGGCGGGCUGGAACCUCUCGGGGUUACAGCCUUGCUGAAUUAUUCACCCUUGUCUUUUGCGUACUUCUUGUUUCCUUGGUGGGUUCGCCCACCACUAGGACAAACAUAAACCUUUUUGUAAUUGCAAUCAGCGUCAGUAACAAAUUAAUAAUUACAACUUUCAACAACGGAUCUCUUGGUUCUGGCAUCGAUGAAGAACGCAGCGAAAUGCGAUAAGUAGUGUGAAUUGCAGAAUUCAGUGAAUCAUCGAAUCUUUGAACGCACAUUGCGCCCUUUGGUAUUCCAAAGGGCAUGCCUGUUCGAGCGUCAUUUGUACCCUCAAGCUUUGCUUGGUGUUGGGCGUCUUGUCUCUAGCUUUGCUGGAGACUCGCCUUAAAGUAAUUGGCAGCCGGCCUACUGGUUUCGGAGCGCAGCACAAGUCGCACUCUCUAUCAGCAAAGGUCUAGCAUCCAUUAAGCCUUUUUUUUCAACUUUUGACCUCGGAUCAGGUAGGGAUACCCGCUGAACUUAAGCAUAUCAAAAGCCGGAGGAAAAA